rnacentral:lncRNA from 1 species
CUAAAAACAAAGCCCUGGGCCAGGCUCUAUGGCAAGCCCAGAGAGGGAUCCCUCGGUUAUUAAUAUGCCAGUGGAUUCAAACAACAUAUGUCGAGUACCUGCCAUGUGCCGAGUGCUGUUCUAGACGCUCUGGUGAGACUGUUGGAUCUUACCAAAGAAUUUUCAAUAGGCUGGGGAGAAGAAACAUCGCUAGGCAACCAGAUAAGUAAAAUUAAAGAUGAAAGGAGUCAUCCAGGAAAAUGGUCGGUUGGCUCCAUGAUUCAGAGAUGGAGCCUUCAUCUCUGCUCUCGAAACACUCAAGACUUUUUGAGGAGACAAGACACACAGAUCAGCAAGAGAUGAAUUCAAAGACAGAAGUGAGACAAGAGACAGAACUGUUCCACUGUCAAGGCUGUGAAGGACAAAGGAACGGCUCUCCUUGUAUGGUCUGCCUCCAAGCUUUUGAAGAGAAGGAGAAAUUAUUUUUAAAAAGGAAGGAAAGCCAGGAAAUAUUGACUCUGCUGAACAAACCCUACGAUCACCUGGGUGCUGUUAAACCUCAGGAUUCCCGGGUUCCACGUGGCAUCUACAGAGGUGGAAUUUCCAAGGAAAGGGGCUCGGGAGUCCACCCUUCGUGAAAGCGUGCUAGAUGAUCCUGAGUAUCUUAUAACUUUGGUAAACACUUUCUCGGGGAUCUUUGGGCUUCUCAAUUCCACAACUGUUAACAGGUCAAGGCCAGCCAUGCUGUAAAGCAGGGCAUUGUGGGAGAGGACGGGGGCUCCCGAUGUGGGGCCCCUUGAGGAAAUCUCAGGUCCCCAGCCUAAGAAAGCUCUUCCAACCAGUCUACCACAGUGCUGCAAACGUCCCCAUCGAGGUCACAAUUCACCUUUCAAUGUCACUCAAAAUGAGCAAGGUUAUGCUGAAAUAAAUUUCAAGGCUUAAGAUGGAGGCA